rnacentral:rRNA from 1 species
CGCGUAGGUGGUAGUGUAAGUCUGGGGUGGAAUCCCAGGGCUUAACCCUGGAACUGCCUUGGAAACUGUAUUACUUGAGUCAGUGAGGGGAGGGUAGAAUUCCUGGUGUAGCGGUGAAAUGCGUAGAUAUCAGGAGGAAGGCCUGUGGCGAAGGCGGCCCUCUGGCGCUGGACUGACACUGAGGCGCGAAAGCGUGGGGAGCAAACAGGAUUAGAUACCCUGGUAGUCCACGCCCUAAACGGUGGGCACUAGGUGUAGGGCUCGUAAGGGUCUGUGCCGAAGGGAAACCAUUAAGUGCCCCGCCUGGGGAGUACGGCCGCAAGGUUGAA